AUUGAACGCUGGCGGCAUGCUUUACACAUGCAAGUCGAACGCGAAAGAGGGGGCAACUCCUUGAGUAGAGUGGCGAACGGGUGAGUAAUACAUCGGAACGUACCCAGUCGUGGGGGACGACCAGUCGAAAGACUGGCUAAUACCGCAUACGCAGGAGACUGGACAGGGGGCGCCCGCAAGGGGCCCUCGCGCUUGGAGCGGCAGACGUGCGAUUAGCUAGUUGGUGGGGUAAGAGCCCACCAAGGCGACGAUCGGUAGCUGGUCUGAGAGGAUGAUCAGCCACACUGGGACUGAGACACGGCCCAGACUCCUACGGGAGGCAGCAGUGGGGAAUUUUGGACAAUGGGCGAAAGCCUGAUCCAGCCAUGCCGCGUGAGGGAAGAAGGCCUUCGGGUUGUAAACCUCUUUCGGCCGGGACGAAAUCGCAUCGGUUAAUACCCGGUGUGGAUGACGGUACCGGAAGAAGAAGCACCGGCUAACUACGUGCCAGCCGCCGCGGUAAGAC
rnacentral:rRNA from 1 species